rnacentral:rRNA from 1 species
GAUUUCUGGGUGACUGUGCUAGCCCGCUCCUUUCCGGGAGUGUGUGCCGGCAUACGUCAUUCAUCCUUCUAGAAAGCCUUGCCUGCCGUUCAUUCGGCCGGGCAUGUGCGGUCUAGAUCUUUUACUUUGAAUAAAUUAGAGUGUUUAAAGCAGGCUUGCGCUAUGAAUACAUUAGCAUGGAAUAAUAAUUUAGGACUUUGGUCUUAUUUUGUUGGUUUCUAGGACUAAAGUAAUGAUUGAUAGGGACAGUUGGGGGUGCUAGUAUUCAGCGGCCAGAGGUGAAAUUCUUGGAUUCGCUGAAGACUAACUUAUGCGAAAGCAUU